GCCAGGUGUGGUGGCACGCACCUGUAGUCCCAGCUACUCAGGAGGCUGAGGCAGGAGGACUGCUUGAGCCCAGGACUUCAAGGAUACAGUGAGCUAUGAUCAUGACACUGCAUUCUAGCCUGGACAACAGAGUAACACUCUGUCUCUA
ensembl:misc_RNA Metazoa_SRP Metazoan signal recognition particle RNA